AUUGAGCGCUGGCGGCAUGCUUUACACAUGCAAGUCGAACGGUAACAGGUUAAGCUGACGAGUGGCGAACGGGUGAGUAAUGCAUCGGAACGUGCCCGGUCGUGGGGGAUAACGCAGAGAAAGUUGCGCUAAUACCGCAUACGAUCUGAGGAUGAAAGCGGGGGACCGUAAGGCCUCGCGCGAUCGGAGCGGCCGAUGUCAGAUUAGGUAGUUGGUGGGGUAAAGGCUCACCAAGCCAACGAUCUGUAGCUGGUCUGAGAGGACGACCAGCCACACUGGGACUGAGACACGGCCCAGACUCCUACGGGAGGCAGCAGUGGGGAAUUUUGGACAAUGGGCGCAAGCCUGAUCCAGCAAUGCCGCGUGCAGGAAGAAGGCCUUCGGGUUGUAAACUGCUUUUGUACGGAACGAAACGGUCUGGGUUAAUACCCUGGGCUAAUGACGGUACCGUAAGAAUAAGCACCGGCUAACUACGUGCCAGCAGCCGCCGUAA
rnacentral:rRNA from 1 species